GCAGUCGAGGGGCAGCAUUUCAGUUUGCUUGCAAACUGGAGAUGGCGACCGGCGCACGGGCUGAGUAACACGCUAUCCAACCUGCCGAUAACUCGGGGAUAGCCUUUCGAAAGAAAGAUUAAUACCCGAUGGNAUAAUCAGACCGCAUGGUCUUNUUAUUAAAGAAUUUCGGUUAUCGAUGGGGAUGCGUUCCAUUAGGCAGUUGGUGAGGUAACGGCUCACCAAACCUUCGAUGGAUAGGGGUUCUGAGAGGAAGGUCCCCCACAUUGGAACUGAGACACGGUCCAAACUCNUACGGGAGGCAGCAGUGAGGAAUAUUGGUCAAUGGGCGCAGGCCUGAACCAGCCAAGUAGCGUGAAGGAUGACUGCCCUAUGGGUUGUAAACUUCUUUUAUAUGGGAAUAAAGUUUUCCACGUGUGGAAUUUUGUAUGUACCAUAUGAAUAAGGAUCGGCUAACUCCGUGCCAGCAGCCGCGGUAAUACGGAGGAUCCGAGCGUUAUCCGGAUUUAUUGGGUUUAAAGGGAGCGUAGGUGGACAGUUAAGUCAGUUGUGAAAGUUUGCGGCUCAACCGUAAAAUUGCAGUUGAUACUGGCUGUCUUGAGUACAGUAGAGGUGGGCGGAAUUCGUGGUGUAGCGGUGAAAUGCUUAGAUAUCACGAAGAACUCCGAUUGCGAAGGCAGCUCACUGGACUGCAACUGACACUGAUGCUCGAAAGUGUGGGUAUCAAACAGGAUUAGAUACCCUGGUAGUCCACACAGUAAACGAUGAAUACUCGCUGUUUGCGAUAUACAGUAAGCGGCCAAGCGAAAGCAUUAAGUAUUCCACCUGGGGAGUACGCCGGCAACGGUGAAACUCAAAGGAAUUGACGGGGGCCCGCACAAGCGGAGGAACAUGUGGUUUAAUUCGAUGAUACGCGAGGAACCUUACCCGGGCUUAAAUUGCAUUUGAAUAUUUUGGAAACAGUNUAGCCGNAAGGCAAAUGUGAAGGUGCUGCAUGGUUGUCGUCAGCUCGUGCCCUGAGGUGUCGGCUUAAGUGCCAUAACGAGCGCAACCCUUAUCUUUAGUUACUAACAGGUCAUGCUGAGGACUCUAGAGAGACUGCCGUCGUAAGAUGUGAGGAAGGUGGGGAUGACGUCAAAUCAGCACGGCCCUUACGUCCGGGGCUACACACGUGUUACAAUGGGGGGUACAGAAGGCAGCUACCUGGUGACAGGAUGCUAAUCCCAAAAGCCUCUCUCAGUUCGGAUCGAAGUCUGCAACCCGACUUCGUGAAGCUGGAUUCGCUAGUAAUCGCGCAUCAGCCAUGGCGCGGUGAAUACGUUCCCGGGCCUUGUACACANCGCCCGUCAAGCCAUGAAAGCCGGGGGUACCUGAAGUACGUAACCGCAAGGAGCUCCUAGG
rnacentral:rRNA from 1 species